rnacentral:rRNA from 1 species
UCCUACGGGGAGGCAGCAGUGGGGAAUAUUGGACAAUGGGCGCAAGCCUGAUCCAGCCAUACCGCGUGGGUGAAGAAGGCCUUCGGGUUGUAAAGCCCUUUUGUUGGGAAAGAAAUGCAUUCGGUUAAUACCCAGUAGUUAUGACGGUACCCAAAGAAUAAGCACCGGCUAACUUCGUGCCAGCAGCCGCGGUAAUACGAAGGGUGCAAGCGUUACUCGGAAUUACUGGGCGUAAAGCGUGCGUAGGUGGUUGUUUAAGUCUGUCGUGAAAGCCCUGGGCUCAACCUGGGAAUUGCGAUGGAUACUGGGCAACUAGAGUGUGGCAGAGGGUAGUGGAAUUUUCGGUGUAGCAGUGAAAUGCGUAGAGAUCUGGAGGAACAUCCGUGGCGAAGGCGACUCCCUGGGCCAACACUGACACUGAGGCACGAAAGCGUGGGGAGCAAACAGGAUUAGAUACCCUGGUAAUCCACGCCCUACGGGAGGCAGCAGUAAACUCAAAGAAUUGACGGUCCUA